GAAGUGGUAGUUCAGUGGUGAAGACGUUGGACUUCUGAUUGGAAGGUUGAUAGUUCAAAUCCCAGUAUCA